GCCAGGUUAGAAGGGUCUGGGAUUCCUUUAUGAGGUGCAACCAAAACAGCUGUUAGAAAUAGCAACAGGGAUAUUCUGGCAGGCUGUCGAGAAUUAGUUCUUGAAUACUGUUGUGGUUUUGAUCACUAAUAUGGCUGUGACUUUUGGAUUCUCUUUGAGGUAACGCUCAUGGGCAUCCUGCCUACACUGGACCUGAACCAACUGGAUCCUAUGCCCAAGCAAGAGUGGUGUCUGGUCCAAAUGCUAAAGCUACUGGCCACAAUGCCACGUCAGCAGAAGCUACUGGCCACAAUGCCACGUCAGCAGAAGCGUCCGGCCCCGGCGCCUCAGCAGAAGCGACAAGCCUUGAACAGACGGCCCGACCACUCAACUAGGGAGAUCAUCAUUUGGUUUGGCCAACUCCUUGUCUUACACCUGUUACUGUGCCUCUUGAAGAAAAGGGUAAAGGUGCCAACUAAUGUGCUUGUUUGAAAUGAGGAUCUCCUUCACAUCAUCAUGCAAAUUGUUUACAGGGGUGGACGAUACAAUGUUAUGAAUUGUUUUUAAAACCAUACGACUAAAAUAGACUUCUGAUGUAGUGAUAUUGCUGAGACACUUUCAGGUUCUACGGUUAUGCUUUUGAUUUAGCCUGGUGUUCCUGCUACUCUUGCAUGAUUUGCUCAAUAAACCAUGACUUUCAAAA